CAAUAGCGUAUAUUAAAGUUGUUGCGGUAAAAAAGCUCGUAGUUGGAUUUCUGUUGAGAGCGACCGGUCCAUACCAUGUGUGCGUAUCUGGCUUGCUCUCGGCAUCCUCUCGAUAGACGUUACUGCGCUUGAUUGCGUGGUGCGGAUCUCGGGACUUUUACUUUGAGGAAAUUAGAGUGUUCACGGCAGGCUUUCGCCAGAAUACAUUAGCAUGGAAUAAUACUAUAGGAUCUUGGUUCUAUUUUGUUGGUUUCUAGAAUUGAGAUAAUGAUUAAUAGGGACAAUUGGGGGCAUUCGUAUCAACACGUCAGAGGUGGAAUUCUUGGAUUGUGUUGCGACGAACUACUGCGAAAGCAUUUGCCAAGGAUGUUUUCAUUGA
rnacentral:rRNA from 1 species